UACUCGAUGAACAAUUUGGAUAUCUAUUUCAUCAUGAAGAAGAAACAGGACACACGAGAGUCGUUCACGCAGGGCAGUGAUGCAGCACCUGGCACGGGAGAGAUGGAGGCAAGCAAGGUUACAGAGACCAGUAGCCCAAAAGAGCAAGAGCAGGACAUGCCUUCACGAACUGAUGGGGCUGAAAGAAGCGCAGUGGCUGCCGUUUCCAACACAGCAGAGUCUGCAGCCAUCCCCACGGUCCCACCUGUAGCAGACCCCGUACCAGUCUCCACUGUAGCAGACCCUGUACCAGUCUCCACUGUAGCAGACACCUGUAACCAGUCUCCCACUGUAGCAGAACCCCGUACAGUCUCCACUGUAGCAGACCCCGUACCAGUCUCCACUGUAGCAGACCCGUACCAGUCUCCACUGUAGCAGACCCCGUACCAGUCUCCACUGUAGCAACCCCGUACCCGUCUCCACUGUAGCAGACCGUACCUUCCCACUGUAGCAACCCCGUACCAUUCCCCACUGUAGCAGACCCGUACCAGUCUCCACUGUAGCAGACCCCGUACCAGUCUCCACUGUAGCAGACCCGUCACCAGUCUCCACUGUAGCAGACCCGGUACCAGUCCUCCACGUAGCAGACCCCGUACCCGUCUCCACGUAGCAGACCCGUACCGUCCCCACUGUACAGACCCCGUACCGUCUCCACUGUAGCAGACCCCGUACCAGUCUCCACUGUAGCAGACCCCGUACCCGUCUCCACUGUAGCAGACCCCGUACCAGUCUCCACUGUAGCAGACCCCGUACCAGUCUCCACUGUAGCAGAUCCCGUACCCGUCUCCACUGUAGCAGACCCGCGUACCCUCUCCACUGUAGCAGACCCCGUACCCGUCUCCACUGUAGCAGACCCCGUACCGUCUCCACUGUAGCAGACCCCGUACCAUUCUCCACUGUAGCAGACCCCGUACCCGUCUCCACUGUAGCAACCCCGUACCCGUCUCCACUGUAGCAGACCCCGUACCAGCUCCACUGUAGCAGACCCCGUACAGUCUCCACUUAGCAGACCCCGUACCCUCUCACUGUAGCAGACCCUGUACCCCUCCCGGCUCCACUAUAGAGGAGGGGGUGUGCUCAGUGUGACAUGGCUGAGGAGCUGAGCCGCCAUGGAGGACAUCCUCAACACCUACUGCCUGGAGGACAACGGGGAGGACGGGGUUAACCUGCCCAACGGCCAAUCAUACUGCCCCGUGCUCAACGGCCUGGCCAAUGAGAAGGAGUUGGAUGCCAAGCUGGAGGAGGUCAAAGUGAACACCGGCGGAGUGGAGAAAGUGAAGAUUCAAGAGAAGAAGAAGGUGAAGGGCUGGGUAAGGACUGGUUCUGUUACUCUGGCUGAAACAAUCCCUGGGCCGUAUUCCUGGAGCUUGUCGUUGAUCUGAAAUGAUUGGCUGAGUGUAGGUCAGUCGCCUCCAAUCCUGGAGACCGAAUGGUCUCCGGACCAGGAUUGGUCACUAAUAUCUAGCUGUCAUCCAUCAGAUAUUUUAGUCUUACAGUGGUGGCUAGGGGUUUAGGGCUGGAUAGCUUCCCUUGUUGUGUUAUUGGGUCCCUGUUGUGAGGAGGUGGUGUUGCGCUGAAUAUGCCCCCCCCCCAGUUGUGCUGAAUAUGCCCCCCCCCCCCCAUGUUGUGUCUGAAUAGGCCCCCCCCCCAUGUUGUGCUGAAUAUGCCCCCCCCCCCCC
ensembl:lncRNA